UCAGACCCAUAACUGAAGCUGAGCCCUCUACUAAGAAACGCCGUUCUAGCAGGAAAUCAGUCUCGGUUUCUACUGAAUUAGAUGUUGACUCUACGGUAAACGAAGUGGAAGAAGAAGAGAGCCACUUGCCGUUAGAUGAAACACAUGUGAAUUCUGCUGCCUGCAACCGUGAAAUAGCAACUGGGGUACAGCUAACCACUACUUCUGCAAGGCCAGUGAGGGAUCGCCGCCCUAACAGGAAAUAUGAAGAUGGUUUAUCCAAAGAUCAAACAUUUGGCAGGACAUGUAACAAAAAAACUGGCUCCAAAGCACAAGGCACCACAAAGGUUAAGAGGGGUAAAUCACUAAUUGUAUUAUCGGAUAUUGAAGAUGUCACCACC